rnacentral:rRNA from 1 species
AUAUUGCGCCAUGGGGGGAACUCUUACGCAGCGACGCCGCGUGAGCGAUGAAGGUCUUCUGGUUGUUAAGCUCUGUCCUUGGGGAAGAAGGUCUUCGGACUUGACGGUUGCUAAGGAGGACGCCCCGGCUAACUACGUGCCAGCAGCCGCGGUAAUACGUAGGGGGCAAGCGUUGUCCGGGAUUAUUGGGCGUAAAGGGUUCGUAGGCGGCCUUUUAAGUCAGAUGUGAAAGCCCACGGCUUAACCGUGGGACUGCAUUUGAAACUGGAGGGCUUGAGUAUCGGAGAGGGUAGUGGAAUUCCCAGUGUAGCGGUGGAAUGCGUAGAUAUUGGGAGGAACACAAGUGGCGAAGGCGACUACCUGGACGAAAACUGACGCUGAGGCACGAAAGCUAGGGGAGCAAAC